rnacentral:rRNA from 1 species
AGUCGAGCGAACAGAAGGGAGCUUGCUCCCGGAUGUUAGCGGCGGACGGGUGAGUAACACGUGGGUAACCUGCCUGUAAGACUGGGAUAACUCCGGGAAACCGGAGCUAAUACCGGAUAGUUCCUUGAACCGCAUGGUUCAAGGAUGAAAGACGGUUUCGGCUGUCACUUACAGAUGGACCCGCGGCGCAUUAGCUAGUUGGUGGGGUAAUGGCUCACCAAGGCGACGAUGCGUAGCCGACCUGAGAGGGUGAUCGGCCACACUGGGACUGAGACACGGCCCAGAUUCCUACGGGAGGCAGCAGUAGGGAAUCUUCCGCAAUGGACGAAAGUCUGACGGAGCAACGCCGCGUGAGUGAUGAAGGUUUUCGGAUCGUAAAGCUCUGUUGUUAGGGAAGAACAAGUGCGAGAGUAACUGCUCGCACCUUGACGGUACCUAACCAGAAAGCCACGGCUAACUACGUGCCAGCAGCCGCGGUAAUACGUAGGUGGCAAGCGUUGUCCGGAAUUAUUGGGCGUAAAGGGCUCGCAGGCGGUUUCUUAAGUCUGAUGUGAAAGCCCCCGGCUCAACCGGGGAGGGUCAUUGGAAACUGGGAAACUUGAGUGCAGAAGAGGAGAGUGGAAUUCCACGUGUAGCGGUGAAAUGCGUAGAGAUGUGGAGGAACACCAGUGGCGAAGGCGACUCUCUGGUCUGUAACUGACGCUGAGGAGCGAAAGCGUGGGGAGCGAACAGGAUUAGAUACCCUGGUAGUCCACGCCGUAAACGAUGAGUGCUAAGUGUUAGGGGGUUUCCGCCCCUUAGUGCUGCAGCUAACGCAUUAAGCACUCCGCCUGGGGAGUACGGUCGCAAGACUGAAACUCAAAGGAAUUGACGGGGGCCCGCACAAGCGGUGGAGCAUGUGGUUUAAUUCGAAGCAACGCGAAGAACCUUACCAGGUCUUGACAUCCUCUGACAACCCUAGAGAUAGGGCUUUCCCUUCGGGGACAGAGUGACAGGUGGUGCAUGGUUGUCGUCAGCUCGUGUCGUGAGAUGUUGGGUUAAGUCCCGCAACGAGCGCAACCCUUGAUCUUAGUUGCCAGCAUUUAGUUGGGCACUCUAAGGUGACUGCCGGUGACAAACCGGAGGAAGGUGGGGAUGACGUCAAAUCAUCAUGCCCCUUAUGACCUGGGCUACACACGUGCUACAAUGGACAGAACAAAGGGCUGCGAGACCGCAAGGUUUAGCCAAUCCCAUAAAUCUGUUCUCAGUUCGGAUCGCAGUCUGCAACUCGACUGCGUGAAGCUGGAAUCGCUAGUAAUCGCGGAUCAGCAUGCCGCGGUGAAUACGUUCCCGGGCCUUGUACACACCGCCCGUCACACCACGAGAGUUUGCAACACCCGAAGUCGGUGAGGUAACCUUUAUGGAGCCAGCCGCCGAAGG